rnacentral:piRNA from 1 species
UGAGACUCUGCCUCGAUUUUUAAAAAGGUCU